GCCCUUGGAUGAGCCCGCGGCCUAUCAGCUUGUUGGUGGGGUAAUGGCCUACCAAGGCGACGACGGGUAGCCGGCCUGAGAGGGCGACCGGCCACACUGGGACUGAGACACGGCCCAGACUCCUACGGGAGGCAGCAGUGGGGAAUAUUGCACAAUGGGCGGAAGCCUGAUGCAGCGACGCCGCGUGAGGGAUGACGGCCUUCGGGUUGUAAACCUCUUUCAGCAGGGACGAAGCGCAAGUGACGGUACCUGCAGAAGAAGCACCGGCUAACUACGUGCCAGCAGCCGCGGCCGAAGGGC
rnacentral:rRNA from 1 species